rnacentral:lncRNA from 1 species
UUAAAAACCAAAACAUUGAGAAAUGAGGAGGAGGAGUGAAAGCAUCUUGCUUGGUUUUGAAGUGCAAGUAAUAUUUGAGUAUAAGUGAGUGUUUGGGUAGAAUUGUAGAAAAACCAAAAACAGGGUUGAAAGGUGUCUCAGAGGUCACGGCCAGCCCUCUUCCUGAGGACGCGUGAAUCAUCAGCCCGCUCUGAUUCCUUCUCUCUGAGCAGCUCCAUUUUUUUGCAGAUUUUUGCUACGUCAGGAAACUACAGUUGUUGGCUGAUAGAAAAAUUACAGCAGCACUAUACAACGAGAGAGCUAUUUCUGCCCCUUGUCAGUGAAGUGUUACCGAUAUCUGAGAGUGAUCCAGCCGGAAGUCAGAGUUGUGAGUCCCAACUCAUGCAUGGAGUUUGUGGUAAGAGCUGUGAUGAGUGGACGAGCACAUACCCUGGUUAUAGUGGGCAGCUCCUGCCUAUUGUUGCCACACAGGAGUAUUGGAGUAGUUCUGU